GAUGAACGCUGGCGGCGUGCCUAAUACAUGCAAGUCGAGCGAACAGACGAGGAGCUUGCUCCUCUGACGUUAGCGGCGGACGGGUGAGUAACACGUGGAUAACCUACCUAUAAGACUGGGAUAACUUCGGGAAACCGGAGCUAAUACCGGAUAAUAUAUUGAACCGCAUGGUUCAAUAGUGAAAGACGGUUUUGCUGUCACUUAUAGAUGGAUCCGCGCCGCAUUAGCUAGUUGGUAAGGUAACGGCUUACCAAGGCAACGAUGCGUAGCCGACCUGAGAGGGUGAUCGGCCACACUGGAACUGAGACACGGUCCAGACUCCUACGGGAGGCAGCAGUAGGGAAUCUUCCGCAAUGGGCGAAAGCCUGACGGAGCAACGCCGCGUGAGUGAAGAAGGUCUUCGGGUCGUAAAACCCUUUUAUUAGGGAAGAACAAAUGUGGAAGUAACUAUGCACGUCUUGACGGUACCUAAACAGAAAGCCACGGCUAACUACGUG
rnacentral:rRNA from 1 species